rnacentral:rRNA from 1 species
UGAGGAAUAUUGGUCAAUGGGGGCAACCCUGAACCAGCCAAGUCGCGUGAAGGAUGAAGGUCUUAUGGAUUGUAAACUUCUUUUAUACAGGAAUAAAUUGGGGGACGUGUCCCCUUUUGCAUGUACUGUAUGAAUAAGGAUCGGCUAACUCCGUGCCAGCAGCCGCGGUAAUACGGAGGGUCCGAGCGUUAUCCGGAUUUAUUGGGUUUAAAGGGUGCGCAGGCGGGAUGUUAAGUCGGCGGUGAAAUUUUGCAGCUCAACUGUAAAAGUGCCUUCGAUACUGGCUUCCUUGAGUGUAGAUGAAGUAGGCGGAAUUUGUGGUGUAGCGGUGAAAUGCUUAGAUAUCACGAGGAACUCCGAUUGCGCAGGCAGCUUACUAAACUACAACUGACGCUCAUGCACGAAGGCGUGGGGAUCAAACA